AUGCAUACAUCCCCAUUCACCUUCACCUUUUUCUGGGAAAGCUCCCAUCGAUUUUUACUGAAAUGGAACAUGAUGCCAGAUCUCCAGCCUAAAGCUUGGCAUGACAUCACUGUAAAGCAAGAUUGCUGUCAAGAACAGCAUUUAUCACAAGGAACAUUUCAGUCUCAUUUAAAAAGUAAGUUCUUUCCUUUGUAUCAUCUGCUCUUUUUCACAAUGCAUUAUUCUUCUGGUUUAUUAUU
rnacentral:lncRNA from 1 species